AAAACCGACACAGGUAGGCGAGGAGAAAAUCCUCAGGCGCGAGUGAGAACCCUCGUUUAGGAACUCGGCAAACUCACCCCGUAACUUCGGAAGAAGGGGUGCUCCGUUAGCGUCAGCGGUCUCGCACCGCGAAGCGUGAAGGAGUUGCAAUAAAGAGGCCCAGGCAACUGUUUACUAAAAACACAGGGCUAUGCUAAGUCGAAAACGACGUAUAUGGCCUGACGCCUGCCCGGUGCCGGAAGGUUAAAGGGAGAGGUUAGCCGCAAGGCGAAGCUUUGAGCUGAAGCCCCGGUAAACGGCGGCCGUAACUAUAACGGUCCUAAGGUAGCGAAAUUCCUUGUCGGGUAAGUUCCGACCUGCACGAAUGGCGUAAUGAUCUGGGCGCUGUCUCAACGAGGGGCACUGCGAAUUUGUGGUACCGGUGAAGACGCCGGUUGCCCGUGGCUAGACGAAAAGACCCCGUGCACCUUUACUACAUCCUAGUAGUGAAUGCUGACGCGCUAUGCGCAGGAUAGGUGGGAGACUUUGAUCUCGGCUUCUCGGAGUCGGGGGAGUCAACGGUGAGAUACCACCCUUAGCGCUUCGGCGUUCUAACCUUCGUUCUGUCAUCCAGAACAGGGACACUGCUAGGUGGGUAGUUUGACUGGGGCGGUCGCCUCCUAAAGUGUAACGGAGGCGCGCGAAGGUUCGCUCAGGCUGUUUGGAAAUCAGCCUUAGAGUGCAAAAGCAAAAGCGAGCUUGACUGCGAGUCCUACAAGACGAGCAGGUGGGAAACCAGGCUUUAGUGAUCCGGUGGUUCCGCAUGGAAGGGCCAUCGCUCAACGGAUAAAAGGUACGCCGGGAUAACAGGCUGAUCUGAGCCAAGAGUUCACAUCGACGCUCAGGUUUGGCACCUCGAUGUCGGCUCAUCGCAUCCUGGAGCUGUAGCAGGUUCCAAGGGUCCGGCUGUUCGCCGGUUAAAGCGGUACGUGAGCUGGGUUUAGAACGUCGCGAGACAGUUCGGUCUCUAUCUGCCAUGGGCGUAGGAGAUUUGAGUGGGGCUGACCUUAGUACGAGAGGACCGGGUUGGACGGACCUCUAGUGUACCGGUUGUCGCGCCAGCGGCAGCGCCGGGUAGCUACGUCCGGAAGGGAGAAACGCUGAAUGCAUCUAAGCGUGAAACCCUCCACAAGAUGAGAUCUCCCUGGAUCGCAAGAUCCCUAAAGGCUCCUGGAAGAUGACCAGGUAAUAGGGCGGGUGUGUAAGCGCCGCGAGGCGUUAAGCUUACCGUUACUAAUCAGCCGUGAGGCUUGACUAA
rnacentral:rRNA from 1 species